UUUUUUUCUCAGUUUCCCGCCAGUGUCUCCCACUUCCCAGUGUGUCCUCUCUUCUGCUUCCUCUCCCAGUUUCGCUGCUUUUUGCGUUCCCAAGCUCGAAGUCGCGGGCAUCAUUUAAAUUUUCUCUAGCAACCAAGUGUUUUUUGUGGGUCUGAAUGUUGACAUGCACUCGUCACUUAAAUGUAGUUCCUUCUUUUUUUUCUAUUUGAGGUCUGAUAACACAACGAACGGUUUUAAAUGCAGAAGUAGUGCUGAAUAAAAGCAAGUUCAUGUCAGGGAAAUGACAUUUCAUGGUGGGUUUGGCUGCUGCACUCGCAGGGAAUAGUUUCCUGGUUGUGCGGGACUCUGUGACGUCUCAGCCAAGCCUGCUGUGUGUGUCUGCCGGAGCGCAGAAUGAGGAAGUCUUUGAUUAUAAUAUCAAAUGCACAGGAGCAGUUUUCCAACUGUCUGAGUCUCAUCUGUCUUUCUCUGACUUGACUCAGCUGGUGCUCUUCUACUCUCUGACCAGGGAUGUGCUGGAUGUUUGUCUCCACAUUCCUCGCUGGAUCUACAGCGUAACAGACACAAAAAAAGAGCGUCUUUCACAGCUUGAACCUA
ensembl:lncRNA